rnacentral:rRNA from 1 species
CCCUUAGAUGUUCGGGGCCGCACGCGCGCUACACUGAAGGACUCAGCGUGUCUCUCCCCCUAUCCCGAAAGGGAUGGGCAACCCGUUGAACCUCCUUCGUGCUAGGGAUUGGGGUUUGCAAUUAUCCCCCAUGAACGAGGAAUUCCCAGUAAGCGCGAGUCAUCAGCUCGCGCUGAUUACGUCCCUGCCCUUUGUACACACCGCCCGUCGCUACUACCGAUUGGAUGGUUUAGCGAGAACUUUGGACCGGAGCUCGGGUGGUCAGCAAUGGCCGCCCGAGACAUACUGGGAAAUCGCUCCAGCUUGAUCAUCUAGAGGAAGUAAAAGUCGUAACA